AAAAAGCUUCAAACUGGGAUUAGAUACCCCACUAUGCCCGGCCGUAAACAAAAAUGGAAUAAAACAACCCAUUCGCCUGAGAACUACCAGCACGAGCUAAAAACUCAAAAGACUUGACGGUGCUCUACCCUACCUAGAGGAGCCUGUCCUAUAAUCGAUACCCCACGAUCCACCCGACCACUACUAGCACCCCAGCCUAUAUACCGCCGUCGAAAGAAUAUCCUGCAAAGGGCCCAUAAUUAUCCCAACAGCCACAUCACUAAAACGUCAGGCCAAGGCAUAGCUAAUGUAGAGGCAGAGAUGGGCUACAUUUUCUGGCUACAGAACAAACGAAAAAUAGCAUGAAACCUGCUACUCAAAGGUGGAUUUAGCAGUAAGAUGAAAAAGCAUACUCACCUUAACCCAGCACCAGAGCACGUACACACCGCCCGUCACCCUCUGCAGUCA
rnacentral:rRNA from 1 species